rnacentral:rRNA from 1 species
AGCCGAAGGGAAACCGAGUCUUAAUUGGGCGUUAAGUUGCAGGGUAUAGACCCGAAACCCGGUGAUCUAGCCAUGGGCAGGUUGAAGGUUGGGUAACACUAACUGGAGGACCGAACCGACUAAUGUUGAAAAAUUAGCGGAUGACCUGUGGCUGGGGGUGAAAGGCCAAUCAAACCGGGAGAUAGCUGGUUCUCCCCGAAAGCUAUUUAGGUAGCGCCUCGUGAACUCAUCUCCGGGGGUAGAGCACUGUUUCGGCUAGGGGGCCAUCCCGGCUUACCAACCCGAUGCAAACUGCGAAUACCGGAGAAUGUUAUCACGGGAGACACACGGCGGGUGCUAACGUCCGUCGUGAAGAGGGAAACAACCCAGACCGCCAGCUAAGGUCCCAAAGUCAUGGUUAAGUGGGAAACGAUGUGGGAAGGCCCAGACAGCCAGGAUGUUGGCUUAGAAGCAGCCAUCAUUUAAAGAAAGCGUAAUAGCUCACUGGUCGAGUCGGCCUGCGCGGAAGAUGUAACGGGGCUAAACCAU